AAUAAACUCAAUUCCUGUUGACACCAGCAAAUCCAGAUUUCAGCAAAGACCCACAAAGGCCCUGACCACAUAACAGAGAGAAAGUGCUCUUUUCCCCCCAUAAUCCAAGCCCCUGCUCACUGUGAGAACUUCCCUCACCACACACAUGCAAAAGGGGAACCAACCAGUUAUUAGAGCAAGACCCAGCCAUGUGCUACAUGGAAUGGGGAAGACUAGAAGCCUGCAGCAACAGAUGGAUUUUGCAGCAUAAUCUAAAGGUCAACAACUUCUGGCCAGCAAAGUAAUGGAGAACAAACCAGGCUGCACCAAGUUCAGCACAGAGGAAACCUAAUUAAAAAUUAUGUUCAUAUUUAACCCGUGUUUCAGAAUUGCAAAAUCACAGAGGGACUACCUGAGGCACCUAGUAC
ensembl:lncRNA